rnacentral:lncRNA from 1 species
GCGCCUUGUGAGCGCGUUUGGAUCCGCGAAGGAAAUCGCUCGGAUGUUCCCCUAACCCAACCCGGGAACGGACCGGAGGGAACCGCAGCAUGGGGAAUGUCCGCGUCUCGUCGCAAGGCUCAUUUUGAGUUGUGGGUCAUAGGGCGGGCAGCUUUAUCUGAUCAAGGGCCGGGGCACAAGGGUCCUAGUACUAUCCAGGUGCGAAGAAGCCCGGAGGUGACUGUAAUGAGCAGAAAUCUCACUCACCGGCCUAAACGACGAGCAAACACUCGAACGUGAGAGCAAGGGAUCACCCAACGAAUGGACGAGCUCAAAGGGGGGAGGAGAGAGGGGGGCAAGAACCAUGUUUUCAGAGAAGUGGCGGUCCGAAUCUUAUCUGAACUGCGAGAAUAACUGACUAAGCCGUGCCAUAAGGGGUCAUUCUCCAAACGGGACGCCUUUAGGUUGUUAAAGUAGGUUGGGUGACAGAUCGGCCAUAGGAGUACUCCGGGAUAUAAACCAGGGCAACAAAAGUGGAGCAUACGGCGAUGCCGCCCGUUUUCAUUUCGUGGAAGUCCCCGGCAGAGGAAAGGGCUGUAGGUGAUGGCGCGUUCUGCUUCUUAUCUAGAGAGGGGCGCUGAAAUCCUUUCUAUGGGCUCGUGCGUGGCAGCUGGUAUAGAUGAAGAAAGGCGGACCGCUUGAACGGGACCUAUUCUCUUAAUAGGCGGCAAAGCGGAAUAGAAAAGCACGGACGAGCCACAUGCAGGGAAACUUGCACGUGUGGUUCUGGCCGGGGACCCCGGU